GAGGAGCCCCCGAGCUGCAGCCGUCUCCCUCGGGCUGCUGCCGGUGCUGCGGGCGGAGGCGGCUCCGCCCGUGUUGGGCGCUGCGAGCAGGGAGCGCUGCGGUAUCGCCGGCAUGACGGGGCUGCUCCCUGCGUUAGUGCUCGUGGCUCUUUGUGCCGUGACAGCGGAUGGAGCGGCGCUGGGCGGUAAAGCCAGAGAUGGCCGGGAGAAUGCCCAGCGCAGGGAGCGGGCGGGCUGUGUGCUUCGGAUGGCACAGGGUACUCACAAAAUAUGUCUCCCUUAGAGUCCCACAGAAACGUUCUCAGUGCGAUCUCUAUCAAGCCAAUUCUGAAGCGCUGAGCAGAGAUCUGCCCGGGAGGCAGAGCAGAGGCGAUCUCUGAGAGCUGACACGGGAGCUCUGGUGAGGACAGCUGCUCCCCUGCCUCGGUGUGGGACCUGCUGAGCUGCCGUUCCUGUGGUGGGAGUGUUUCUCCUCUCAUCCAGGCAAGCCAGAGAGCUCCUAGGGAAGGGGCAGACUCAUCACGGCGGGACAGCGUGAGGACUGAAAGUGUAAGAAGAUGUGGAGGGAAAGAGAGAAUCUGACAGGAGCAGCGAACGCACGAGUGCACGAAUUUUGCUUUUUGCUUGGAUGUAAACUCAGGAGUUGAAAGGAGUUUGGGAGUGAGAAGGGACAUUUCAGAAGGAGAAGAAGAAAAAGAAGUUGUUGUUGUUGUUACAGUCCUGGCAAAAUCUUUUGUUCUAGCUAAUAAAAGAAGUUAGUUUAAAAAACAAAAGGGAAAAAAUGUAGUGUUUUUAUUUUUUCCUUCACUAUGAUAUUCAUUGGUGGUAUAUGGUGUGUUGUUUUAUUUCUUGGUAUUAUUAACUCUGUGUAAAUUGUUUUUUGAGUGAAGCUGACUUUCUGGAUGGGUUGGUUUGUAUUUGAGGCAGGAUUAAUUUCAAUAGGAUUCUUUCAUAGAUUUCUGAUGGGUAUUACUGGGAUUUUGGUUUUGUUUGCUGUAUGUAUAAACAUAGAGCUUUGGUGGGGCCAGCUGGGCUGCUGGAGUUUUGGGUGUAAAUUUAUUAGAUGGCUUUUGUUAGAUGCAGUUUUUAAUUUUUGAAAUGUUUUUCAAUGUAGUGGUUUUAA